CCCAGUGCGAAAUAUUAAUGUAAACGGCCGCCCUAGCGUGAGGGUGCUAAGGUAGCGAAAUUCCUUGCCUUUUGAUUGUAGGCCUGCAUGAAUGGUUUAACGAGGGUUUAGCUGUCUCUAAAUUUUUAAUUGAAAUUGUAUUGAAGGUGAAGAUACCUUCAUUUAAAAGUUAGACAAAAAGACCCCGUGCAACUUUGAAAAUUAACUUUAUUCAGGGGUAAAAGAUUUUUAGGUGGGGCGCCUAGAAAGUAAGCCUAACCUUUCUGAGUAAGAGUUUCUUUCAGGAGUUGACCCGAUUAUAUUCGAUCAUAGGAGAAGUUACGCCGGGGAUAACAGGCUAAUCCUUUAGUAGAGCUCGUAUUGGCUAAAGGGAUUGGCACCUCGAUGUUGAAUCAGGGAUGAUAGCUUCAAGGCGUAGAGGCUUUGAGAGUAGGUCUGUUCGACCUUUAAUACCCUACGUGAUCUGAGUUCAGACCGGGG
rnacentral:rRNA from 1 species